rnacentral:misc_RNA from 1 species
GCUGGAGUCAGUGACUUAUACCACUCUGCUGAUGCACAGCUUGUCAAAGGGGAGGCAUAUACCACCUCAAAAACAACCAAGGCCAUGUUUGGAUUUUCUUCACUUCUUUCAAUGCUCUGAACAUGAAUCCUACUAGCAAAAGGGCAAAGAUUUGGGCUCUUUCCGUCGCAUCUCUCAUCAUGAACAAUUUUAAGCAAUUGGUUU